GCGACCCCAGGAUGGGCGAGGCCACCCGCUGAAUUUAAGCAUAUCAAUAAGCGGAGGAG
rnacentral:rRNA from 1 species